GAUGAACGCUGGCGGCGUGCCUAAUACAUGCAAGUCGAGCGAACAGACGAGGAGCUUGCUCCUCUGACGUUAGCGGCGGACGGGUGAGUAACACGUGGAUAUCCUACCUAUAAGACUGGGAUAACUUCGGGAAACCGGAGCUAAUACCGGAUAACAUGUUGAACCGCAUGGUUCAACAGUGAAAGACGGUCUUGCUGUCACUUAUAGAUGGAUCCGCGCCGCAUUAGCUAGUUGGUAAGGUAACGGCUUACCAAGGCAACGAUGCGUAGCCGACCUGAGAGGGUGAUCGGCCACACUGGAACUGAGACACGGUCCAGACUCCUACGGGAGGCAGCAGUAGGGAAUCUUCCGCAAUGGGCGAAAGCCUGACGGAGCAACGCCGCGUGAGUGAAGAAGGUCUUCGGAUCGUAAAACUCUGUUAUUAGGGAAGAACAAAUGUGUAAGUAACUAUGCACGUCUUGACGGUACCUAAUCAGAAAGCCACGGCUAACUACGUG
rnacentral:rRNA from 1 species